rnacentral:rRNA from 1 species
GACAGAGGUCCCGAGCGUUAGGCGGAAUCACUGGGCUUAAAGCGUGUGUAGGCGGACUUCUAAGUACCUUGUGAAAUCCCACGGCUUAACCGUGGAACGGCUGGGUAUACUGGUUGUCUUGGGCCACUUAGGGGCUACUGGAACAAACGGUGGAGCGGUGAAAUGCGUAGAUAUCGUUUGGAACGCCAAUGGUGAAAACAAGUAGCUGGGAGUGUGCCGACGCUGAGACACGAAAGCCAGGGAGCGAACGGG